rnacentral:rRNA from 1 species
UACGUAGGAGGCGAGCGUUGUCCGGAGUUACUGGGCGUAAAGGGUGCGUAGGCGGCCGCGCGCGUGGCGGGUGAAAUCUCCCGGCUUACCCGGGAGGGGGCUUGCCAGACGGCGUGGCUUGAGUGUGGCAGAGGGGGGGUGGAAUUCCACGUGUAGCAGUGAAAUGCGUAGAGAUGUGGAGGAACACCGAUGGCGAAGGCAGCCCCCCUGGGCUAACACUGACGCUCAUGCACGAAAGCGUGGGGAGCAAACAGG